rfam:Oryza glumipatula chromosome 5, whole genome shotgun sequence.
AAUAAGUGCAGUUUUGCACUAUUCAUGUUCAACGUUUGACUGUUCAUCUCAUUUGAAAUUUUUUUAUGAUUAGUAUUUUUAUUGCUAUUAGAUGAUAAAACAUGAAUAGUACUUUAUGUGUGACUAAUUUUUUCAUUAAUUUUUUAAAUAAGACGGACGGUCAAACGUUGGACACAGAUAUCCACGGCUGCACUUAUU